AUUUGAAGAUCAAUUUUACCUCCAGAAGAAGGGAACAGCUAUGGGGACGAAAUUUGCCCCUAGUUUUGCCAACCUGUUUAUGGGGGAUUGGGAGGACAAUCACAUUUGGAAUGGACAUCCCUGGAAUAUGAAUAGUCACAGAUAUAAAAGAUACAUCGAUGAUGUUUUCUUUAUAUGGGAAGGUGAGAUGGAAGACCUGCAAGAGUUUUUAGAAUAUGUGAACAAGAAUACCUGGGUAGCAAAACACAGGUGGAAUUCCUUGACCUCACCAUUUAUAUAGAUUCUGGCACAGUGAAAACGAAAACGCACUUUAAAGAAG